rnacentral:misc_RNA from 1 species
UACAGAGACCUCAAGCGUUAUCCGGAUUUAUUGGGCGUAAAGCGUCCGCAGGUGGUUUGGCCAGUCAGGGGUUAAAACUCAGCGCUCAACGUUGAGACCGCUUCUGAUACUACCAAACUUGAGGACGGAAGAGGUGAGCGGAAUUCUCGGUGUAGUCGUAAUAAGCGUUGAUAUCGAGAAGAACACCAAAUGCGAAGGCAGCUCACUGGUACGUUCCUGACACUCAUGGACUAAAGCGUGGGGAGCAAACAGG